rnacentral:lncRNA from 1 species
GUAUCAGCCCAACCUGUGAUCGAAGGAUCAGAGGCCCCUACGCACAAUCAAGGAACAAUUAAUAGAAAACAAGAGACAAACAACUCAACUUUAAAAAGAAAAGCAACAUUUUCAAAACUCACCAGGACGAGUAACGUUAGCAGGCGAAGGCCUGCUGGCCAGCGCAGACGGCGCAGGAAAGCGGGGCGGACGAACAGCAAGCCCUUCCUGCGCAAUGCUGGCGCCUUUAGCCAACUCCUCCGUGGUGGCAAGCCCAACAAAAACAUCCUCUGAAAAAUAUACAAAAAAAACAUGAGACCAAGUCAAUCAAAAUAUGCAGAAAAAACAAGAAUCAGCAAAAACAAAAUCUUUACCCAUGUACAGCGAGUUUAUACCAUCUCCAGCUGGACGCGGGGGAGCCUCCGCCCUCUUUAUCCUCCGAAGAGAGACAGACUCUGCGUCAUCACUGGAUUCCCCCUGCAUCUCCUUCGGUGGAGAUCCUCCACUGGCAGAAGCCUCUCGCGCAGGACCUUCCGCCAACGCAGGAUUCGCCUCCCGCGCAGGACUCGCCCCAG